GCUAAGAAAAACUUGUGUAUCAAUUAUGAAUGCGAAGUUUAAGAACUAUUGACUAAGCCUGGGUACUGAGAAGUAAAGAUCAGACGUGCAUACAAAAUCCCAAAACAGCUAUCAAAUAGCUUUAAUGAACCUCAGAUGGUUUUGUUGAAACCCAACAAGUGCUUCCUCUUUAUCACGGAAAUAUGGACAUGACCCUAAUUAAUCAACUAAUUAUAUUCGCCCAUUUCCACCACUCUCAACCUGUGACCUACUGUCUGUUGCCCCAGUCCUCCUUGGCCAUGGUGCACAGAAGUGAUGGAUGGGGCCACUGUUUUCCUGCCACGGAGUUAACUGAAUCUAGUUUAGUGCUAUCUUGAACGCCCCAGGCUUUGUGACACUUGAAAUUCUAAUUAGUGCAGAAAAGGGCUAAGUUGAAACAGCUUGGACUCCCUCAAGUAUACCCACUCUCAGGGCCCUAUAAUCUAAUGAGAUCUAUGAAAUUUAAGAUCUAGCAGAGAAAUCCCUGCCUACAGCAACAGCUGUACCCAGGAUGACGACAAGGGGAUUUGGGUUAAAUUAGGGGCUCCAGAUAGCAGGGAGAGUAUCCCCAAACGAUCUGGGAGGGAGACCCACAUGACUCGGAUCCCACUCGUUGUGGUGUGACUUAGAAUUAGCUAGAUUGGCCCAUGGCUCUGGGUUGUGGCAUGUCAAAGAAAAAGCAGGAGGGGUUAUGGCUACACAGAUGGGAGAACUUAGUCCCUACAAGGUGUGGUAGAGCAGGUGAGGGCAGCUGGGGCCAGAGAGAAUCUCUCAAGGGCACUCCCUCUUGUAGGCAGUAGAGAUGGAGGAGAGGAAGAGACCCGUGACUCCUGAAAGAGCCCCCACAAAGGAAAAGGAAGUUCCUUUGCUAUUAACUACUUUGCAGUAGGAGCAGGCUGAAUGUUUGCCGAACACAUUUGGAAGAGGAAGAGAGGAGAUAAUCGUCCUAAUGAAUGUGCAGGAGACAAUAGCAGCUCCAG
rnacentral:lncRNA from 1 species